GAUGAAGAACGAGCGAAAUGCGAUAAGUAAUGUGAAUUGCAGAAUUCAGUGAAUCAUCGAAUCUUUGAACGCACAUUGCGCCCGCCAGUAUUCUGGCGGGCAUGCCUGUUCGAGCGUCAUUUCAACCAUCAAGCCCCCGGCUUGUGUUGGGGACCUGCGGCUGCCGCAGGCCCUGAAAACCAGUGGCGGGCUCGCUAGUCACUCCGAGCGUAGUAAUACAUCUCGCUCAGGGCGUGCUGCGGGUUCCGGCCGUUAAAAAGCCUUAUUUACCCAAGGUUGACCUCGGAUCAGGUAGGAAGACCCGCUGAACUUAAGCAUAUCAAUAAGCGGAGGA
rnacentral:misc_RNA from 1 species